rnacentral:rRNA from 1 species
CGGAAUUUGCCCAGUCGUGGGGGAUAACGUAGGGAAACUUACGCUAAUACCGCAUACGACACCGUGUUGAAUAGAUACGGGGUGAAAGCGGGGGAUCGCAAGACCUCGCGCGAGUGGAUGAGCCGAUGUCGGAUUAGCUAGUUGGCGGGGUAAAGGCCCACCAAGGCGACGAUCCGUAGCUGGUCUGAGAGGAUGAUCAGCCACACUGGGACUGAGACACGGCCCAG